UACGUAGGUGGCAAGCGUUGUCCGGAUUUACUGGGCGUAAAGGAUGCGUAGGCGGACAUUUAAGUCAGAUGUGAAAUACCCGAGCUUAACUUGGGUGCUGCAUUUGAAACUGGGUGUCUAGAGUGCAGGAGAGGUAAGUGGAAUUCCUAGUGUAGCGGUGAAAUGCGUAGAGAUUAGGAGGAACACCAGUGGCGAAGGCGGCUUUCUGGACAGUAACUGACGCUGAGGCGCGAAAGCGUGGGGAGCAAACAGG
rnacentral:rRNA from 1 species